rnacentral:rRNA from 1 species
AUGUACGGGGAGUUCUGUUUGGAAAACAAACACCUGACCUGGAGUCGCAUUCGACAGCUCCAUCAGAAUCUGAGCAUUCCAUGGCUCCUUAUUGGAGACCUCAAUGAAAUUCAAUUUCUCCAUGAAAAGGAGGGUGGCAACCCUCGACCGAUUCAAUAUAUGCAAGCCUUCCAAGACUGUAUAGAUGAGUGUGAACUGCACGACCUUGGCUAUGUGGGUGAUCGAUUCACUUGGUUUCGAGGGAGAAUUAGAGAGCGCUUGGAUAGGGGGCUAAUCAAUGACUCCUGGGCGUCAUUAUUCCCCCAAGCAGCUCUUGAGAACUUAGAAUAUAACCACUCUGAUCAUCGCCCUCUCUUGGUGAAUACAAAGUACUAU